UCGGGCUGUGACCUGAGGGGAGGCUCUGAGGGGGUUUCAAGAGGGUUUCAGGGGGGUGCGGCGGCCUCGAUAACCAAUUCCCCUCUCCCCGGGCUAACGGGGAGCGGCCCGGAGCUCUUCCUGCGGCGCUGUUCCCCUCACGGCGCAGGCGCUCUGUGCGUCCCUGAGGAGUUCCGGGAGGGGUCAGCGCCUUCCCCAGGGGCCUGCUCGGGGAUGAAUCUCUCACAGACCUGUGCUGAUGGCGCGUAUUCAAGCCCGGAAAACAAUGCUUCUCUCGGAGCAUGGAAUCCUCAUCCGCGGGUUCCCCGUGGCCCCUCCCCAGUGUGGCAGAAACCUCAGCCCGGGGUGACCUUCAGGGCACCCUGAAGUGACCACAAUGACCCGAGCUCAGCCACGGGAGCUGAGGAUCCCCUGAGCCCCCUGGAUUCAAUCCCGUUGGGGUGAGCCCCUUCCCCCACGGGGCAGAGCCGGGGGUCCUGAGGCCAGCUCGUGACUUUGGGGGGCACGAGGUGACUUCAGCCUAGGACACACCUGGAGCCAGGUGCUGCAGCUCUCGGGGGGCUCAGCUCUUGGAUCAUCGAUGCAAAUCAAAGAACUUUUCAUCAAUAUAAAUAAAAAUCGCUAUUUUUGUUAAAAACCU